rnacentral:rRNA from 1 species
UACGUAGGGUGCGAGCGUUAAUCGGAAUUACUGGGCGUAAAGCGUGCGCAGGCGGUUUUGUAAGCCAGAUGUGAAAGCCCCGGGCUCAACCUGGGAAUGGCAUUUGGGACUGCAAGGCUGGAGUUUGGCAGAGGAGACUGGAAUUCCUGGUGUAGCAGUGAAAUGCGUAGAGAUCCGGAGGAACACCAGUGGCGAAGGCGACACGCUGGGCCGUACCUGACACUGAUGCGCGACAGCAUGGGGAGCAAACAGG